AAUUAUCAACAUCUUCUACAAACAUGAUGUGCAAGUUUAAUCCCCAGGAAUACUGACUAGUUAUUAUUUUAAUUUACUGGAAACCUAUAGGGCUGGAGAGUAUAUUUCAGAUUGAGGCUGGAAGAAGGAAAGAAAACUGGAGCUUGAUCAAUAUUUAUGAAUUUCUGUGGUUAUCUCUGUAGCAGUUUUAUUCACAGAAAACUAGUCUCUGUGACUUGGGAAAUCAGCUCUGGAUUUUGUUCAAAUAAGGGACAGUAGACCAAUUACCUUUGUGGUUGUUGGUGUUUUGGUGCGGCAGGGAUAGAGGAGCUGUGUAGAGCAUGUUAUGCAGAUGGCAUGAACAUUUCAGACUCCUCUAAGUUUAUAUUUUUGGGCCUUGUAAAUCUCUCUUUAAGGCAGAACGUUAUUUGGAUGAUAUAAUGUUAAACAGUUGAGGCUCCUCUAGGAUUAUUUGGCAUGUGUGGGGCUCAAUAUUUGUUCUUAGCCAUUAAUAAUAAAUAGUAAUAGGUUAAAACAGUUGCCCGCAUAUUGGUUCUCAAAAUAAAAGAAUGUAAACUCAAGUGUGCCUGCUUCUGUUCAACUCACUCAUUGAUUGUUAUUUGUUGGAGGACAUGUGAUUUGCUUGCAUGAUUUGUGGGUUGUUGUAAGAAGUGGAAGUCAUUUUCUCCUCUAUGAUCCUUACUAUAUUCCUCCUCUUUGGAAGCUGAGUUGAAAAUAUUUCAGUUUGCUUGAGCUCAUUUGAGCACCGGAGACCAUCCAAAGUAGAAGCGAUUUGUUGCAUUAUUUAAUUCAUAUACUUGUAACUCGAUCUUCAUGCACUACUAUUAUGUAUUAUGUUUAAACAAUGAUUAAGCACUUCAAUGGCAAAUAAAAGGUGAACUGCCGUCCCCUUUAUUGGCUGACAUGCCUGAAAUUAGCACUUAAAAUAUGGUCCUAAGAGCUUGCCGUCGAUACAUGACUCUCACCUGAAAAUGCCUGUAUUUUCUCUGUUAAUUUCUUGACAUUUUACUUCUUGUGGUUUAACUUUAAUCUUGUUCGUUCACAUUUAUCUAUCAACCAUAUGCUGACUGUGAGGAUUCUGUAGGGAUUGCAACUUUUGAGAUGGAGUAUGGGCACUGGUUGGAGGAGCAAAACAGACAUAUUUGUGAUAUGAGGACUGCUUUAAACGCUCAUAUAAGUGACGUAGAGCUCCACAUACUUGUAGAGAGUGACAUGAGCCACUAUUCCGAACUUUUUCGCUUGAAAGCAAUUGCAGCAAAAGCUGAUGUUUUCUAUGUGAUGUCUGGCUUGUGGAAAUCGUCGGCAGAAAGGUUUUUCUUGUGGAUUGGAGGGUUUCGCCCUUCAGAGCUUCUUAAGGUGAUGAAUUAGUUAUUAAAAUUAUCAAUUGAAGGUUAUAUAUGGGGGUGCCUUUGAACUUAUGAAAGACCUCAUUUUGAUCUCACCACCUUGCCAAGGUGGGUAAACUUGAUCUAAAACUGUGACAACUUAUCACUGCAUUCCGGUCUGCGCUGAUGCUCGGCUCGGUGUAUUAAAUUUCUUUCACGUCGAGCAUUAUGCUGGCAAUUGUUAAAGUGCGUGACAUAUUACCAGUCUGGCUUAUUAAUUAUACAGUUGGUUUUUGGUCAUUGUCUGCUUUGCUGUAAAUAUGGUUAGGGCCCUUGUUACUCCAAAACUGUGGUUAUUGUGUUGUCUUGCACAUAAUAGCCAGCAAGUCCUGUCUAGUCAUGUAAAGUGCAAAUAUUUAUACAGUGAUAAUUCAUUUGGAGGGUUCUGCUAUUGGUAUAGAGUCAUGCUGAUUGCAUGUGGUUGUUAAAAGAGCAUUUCUCACUUCCUAGACAUAAGUAUCGGCACCAACAUAUGUUAUAGAUUAGCAUCUUAUCAUUUGGUUCAUACGAUUAAUAAGUUCUUAUAUCAUUCAAAUGGUUGCUUCAUUGACUCAAGUAUUCAUUUUAUUCUGUGUUUCUGGACUUUGUCAUAUUUUCUAUUCCGACCCAGUUCUUCUGAGAUAUAUUCACAAAUUUAUGUUGAUUACAGAUUCUCGUGCCUUGCAUGGAGCCCUUGACAGAACAGCAAGUUGUGCAUGUUCUUAAUCUUAGACAAUCAUGCCAGCUAGCUGAAGAUGCUCUUUCACAAGGUUUGGAAAAACUCCAGCAAAAUGUAGCAGAGACUGUGGCAGCUGGUCAGUUGGGUGAAGCAAGUUACUCGCCUCAUAUGGAAACUGCAAUGGAGAAGUUAGAAGCUCUGGCCUGCUUUGUGCAGCAGGUCUUAUAAUGCACCUUCUCUUUGCAUUCUCGAAUGGUUUUAGUCUAAGUUCUUAGGCAUGUGCACUCAUAACACAUACACAAUCCAUGAAGUAAUCACUUCAAUUUCAGAGGAAAAGGCCUUCUUAACUUGCAUUAAAGCAUAUUAGUGCCUUGUGUCAUGAAAUAAUCUUGUUAUGCAGAUGUGGGUGAUAUCCAAGUUUUCGCUAGCAUUUAGGUCAAAAUUGGUUGUGCUUGAAGUUAUGCUCCCCAGCUUUCUGAAUGAGGUCAAUCAGCUGGGCUUGUUGAUAUAUCUAACAUCAACUCUUUGUUUUAACAGGCAGACCAUAUACGCCAGGAAACUUUGCAGCAGAUGUCUCGGAUCUUAACAACACGUCAGGCAGCUCGAGGGCUGCUUGCCUUGGGAGAAUACUUCCAACGGCUUCGGGCUCUGAGUUCACUUUGGGCAACUCGCCCACGUGAGCCUGCCUAGCUUUCAUAUUAGGACCCUAUAGCUGGUCAAGAUCUCAAGGAGAUAAUCAUCACUGGAGCAAUACUCAGAAAGAAAAGGGGCGUCUUAGGGUAAUGAUGUAAUCUUAUGUAGACAAUUCAAGCUGCUGACAUUUUUCAAGCAGCCUCCUACAACUGGAAAGUUUUAGAUAUAAAUAGCCAUUCUAUCAAGAGGAAGCUUGUGGUUAAAUCAAUUUUCAGUGCUGCUACUGUCUUGAAAUCAAAUGAUAUAUCACGUUGAGUCUGCAGAUGAAACUUUGUCAUGUAAAUUGUAGUCUACUUGUGUUUGUAUUUUUGUUCUACUUGUGUUUGUAUUUUUGUUCUGCCAUGUACAUAAAUCGUGAGAAUUGCAAAUUAUUUGUUGCCUCCCAUCUCCCUUGCUUAUACUGAAAUGGUCAAUGUAGGCUAGGAAAACCCUACCUGACAAUGAACUCUAGGUCAAUAAUGAAUGGCAUGGAUGUUUUGCUGCCAAAAUUAUGUAAUAUCAUUGAUGCACAAUUAAGAAGAUGCAACUCAUAGCCAUUUUGUUUCCAUUAGUUUCUGUUUCAUUUCCAGGGAAUUCUGACUGGGACAGCUUUAGCUCAGUUGUCUUGUGAUAUAAUGAACAUGGAUAAUUACUGGAAAUAACCUAGUUGUCAUACAACAGGAUAGUGUUCCAGCAACACAAGCAAAGCCCUAAGCUAAAGCUAUUCAUAAACCACUCAAAAGGGAUGUACAAAAGUAAGUAGCAAAGCUAAAAAGAAAGCGAUGUUGUUACUAUCGUAUUACUAGUUCUACUAAUCUUGCUGUAAUCAUUAAAGCAUGCAACUUUGUCAGCAAUACUGAACUAACCAAUCCAUGUCAUUCCACUAAUUAAAACGACAAAUCUUUGGACGUGUUCAUUAGAUUGCCACUAUCAAUCCACCAUCCUGAGUCCACACUUCAAUGGCUUCAUAGAAUUGUUUAACAUGAUUGGUCUCUACUUUUUAUCUAGCUAGUGAUAUUUCUUGUCAUUUUCGUUUCUUUUCUUCUGUACUAGCAAUUUUUUCUCCCUUUUUCUGGUUUGUAGUUUAUGUUUGGUACAAGGAGAAAUAUAAAGCAAAGAGCAUUUCCAGUUUCACUUUGUGAGUUUUUUAAUCUUCUUAUCCAUCCCCACCACUUCUAUAUCACCAGUUGAGCUCAAUCAAUAUUUUAGUCUUCAGAAUCCACAUUUAGAGAUGGUAAGGCACAUGGCCUGAUUUGGAGGGUAUUGCUGAGUAACCUGGAACUACAGAGCCAAUAAUUCUGAAAAAUUAGACACUCAGAGGUCCGAGGUCCUCUUGCAAUAGAAGUUUUUCUUCAGUAUUGACUCUGCCUGCACCUUAAAAACGAAAGAAUCUAAUGCCUUGCCAGCAUCGUUGACCUAAAAAUUAUCUGCCGCACACACCGAUAACCGCUAAAGCCUUUCUUGGAUUAUGUUUCCUUGCAUGAGUUUUCAAGUAAUGUAUCCAUUGGUGCACAUCAUGACAUGUGCAUCCACAGAACAUGGAAAUACAGUUUGAUUUUUUCAGGUAAUAGAAUCAGAAACAAGCAAACUCAUCCUAUUGUUAGAAAGGUUAGAUAUUUGCUCGAUAUUAUUGAAAGCAACCUAUCAGAAGAGAUCGAUGCCAAAAAAUGUGAAUAAUUACAUAUUGAUCUCAGCUUCUGGCAGGUAGCUCCUCACAACUUUGACAUUGAAUAGUCCAACGCGUCAACAAGACAGUCUGCGUAUGCCAAAACAAAAACCGUGACAUUAGAUCAUUUGGUUGAAAAGAGCAUGUAAACAAAAUUAACAAUGGUAAUCAUCAUGCAAGCAAUUCAGAGCUUUUUUUCACAGAAACUGCAGUUUUUAAAAGCUCUCAGAAUCUCUCCUGAAAGUUACCUUAUUGCUUAUCUAAAAGCACGAGGGUUUAAUUUAUUUAAGCACUUGAAGAGACAUGAAGAGUACCUGCAUCAUCUUUGGUGAAGCACAUCGGUGGUUUGAUACGAAACACAUUUCCAUGUAUUCCACCUUUGCCGACUAAGAUGCCAAGCUCUGCACUCAGGAACCAGUGAUGAUAAAUACAAAGUAGAAAUCGAUGAGAAAAUCAUUUCAUAAUCAAAGGCUUAUCUUUUCUACGUUUAAGGUGUUCGGAGGUUGUGCCUUGUUACCUUUAAGUUUCUCAAACAAGAUUGCAGUUUCUGCUUUGGCAGGGGUUUUUUCCUUCCUGUCAGUCACAAGUUCUAUCCCUACCAUUAAGCCCCUGCCCCUUACAUCUCCAAUGACUGAAACAACAAUUAAAAUUUCAGAGCAGCUUAAAAUAUCAUAAAAAGUUAAACAAUGUGUCGCACUAAACUAGUAGUAAUUCAGAAGUUACAUAUCAACAUCUAUAUUCAUGUAAUCAUCACAUCUGACGAGAAUGUUGAUAAAAUUUGGACUUCUGUUUGGCUGGCUUGAUUUCUAUUCUGCACAAGGCUACAGAAGCAGCAAAACUAAUUAAUCCUACAUGAAGCUGUUAAGGAAAGAAACUAGCCUGGCUCAUGUCUUACAAAAACACACAUGUGCACAACAUUCACAUGCAGCUUAUUUGUGUAAUAGCCCAUCCCAAGACAUUGUACAAGCACAUGCAUAAAAGAAAACUCAUCUGCACACACUUACAGGAACUAGGUUUUUGGCACAAACUGCAAAAUAAAGUUUAGGGUUUUAGAAACAGGAAAACAAUGAAAAGAUGAGAUUACUUUAUUUUUUAGGUUUUAAUAAUUUCUUUUUUAAGAAUAUCUUCAAUGUUUAUUUUUUCCCUUAAUUAGAGUGAGGUGGAAUUUACAUAUUACUAUUGGAGAUAUGCUAUAAUGUUAAUAUUGUAUUAAAUUUAUAAUAAUCAAUCAAAAGUUUUUAAAAAAAAUUGUGCUUUUAUAUAUAGUUAUGGAUGAAAAGAGCCCUAAGCAAAAAUCUAGUUAGGUUUACUCUAGUGUAUGUUGGUAUAUGAAUAGAACCACACUCAAAAGUAUGGUUUGCUAUAGCAAGUUAGUAAUAGCUGGUUUGCAUUUGAAAGUAGUUCGGAUUUCAGAUGGUGCAAAAAGACAGCCAGCAGAAUACUUAAUAUACAGCGAGCAGAAAAUGUCAUGUAAAUCACAGAGGCAAAUAUCACAACAGAGUUUUGAGAUGCCAAGUUCAAGAUAAAUUACUGUCAUGACUUCUUUGUAGCUCCCUCAAACGUCCACUCAAGUGCGAACCAACAGCAGCACAAUGCUCUUGACGCUUCUCUUGGUCUAUGACUCUCAAUACUUCAAGUCCACCAGCAGAGCACACGGGGUUCCCACCAAAAGUAUUGAACUGAAUUUUUUGCGCCAUUACUCGUGCUAUUUCUGGUGUUGUUACUACGGCUCCUAAUGGCAAACCAUUGCCAAUGCCCUGAUAAAUGCUAUUUGGUGUUACUUGUGGGAUGGUCAAGCAGUUUUCAAAAGAUAGUGAAAGUAACAUAUUGAAGUGAGAGCUAUUUAAAACAUAGAUUUUUUUCAUUUUGACUUUCCUCUAAUACAACAUGCACGGAUUCCUCAAGAUAAAGUGUUUUAUUAUUAUAAAACUCUAUAUGCUUUGCUAGAGGAGGAAUAAUCAAGAAAAAUUCCUACAUCGAAUUUUAAAUCAAAUUUAUCUAAAUUAUCUUUAGUGUCGAGAAUAUAGCAAUUUGAGCAAAAAAACAUAAAAUAUGAGAUGCUGGGUUUUUUUCAUGUUCAAAGCUUAUAAGAAGUUUUUCUCAACUCCAAUAUUAAAGUAACACGAUUUAAAACAUAGCAAGAAGUGUUUACAGAUUCCUUCCAAAAAUAUUUAGGUUUGUCAAAUUCAUUUAACACAGUUCUUGUCAUUUCUUGAAGAGACUGAUUUUUUUCUUUCUACAACCCCAUUUUGUUGGAGAGUUCUAAAAGUUGAAAAAUUAUGGUGGUAUCUUUUUUCUUCACACAAAAUUUCAAACAAAUCACUUAGAAAUUCACCAUCAUGAUCACUCUUUAUAUUUAUUAUGGAAAAAUCUUUUUUAUAUUCAACUUUUUUUGAAAACUUUACAAAUUUAUAAAUAAUCAUCUUUAGAUUUAAAAAAUAAAACUCAUGUAUAUCCUGUAAAGUCAUCAAUAAUUACAAACACAUAUCAAUUAUCACUAAUACUUCUAGUUCUAGUUGGUCCAAAAAGAUUUUUGUGUAGUAAUUCUAAAGAUCUUUCAUUUGAAAUGUGAUUUUUUCCCUUAAAAGAAGCUUUCACUUGUUUAUCCAUUUGACAAACAUCACAUAACUUUUUUUUUAAAAUACUAUAUGUGCAAGACCCUCAACCAGUUCAUUUUUAACUAGCUUAGAAAUGAUGUUCAUGCCAAUAUGACCUAGUCUUCCAUGUUAAACUUGGGUUAACUCGAGUUUAUUUUUAAUAGAUUUUUUUUUUCAAUUUCAUCUUUUAACAUUAGUUUGAUUGAGAAUUGAGCUUCAUAAUUUAUUUUAAUUUGUUUUUUAUUGGGUUAUCCCAGUCUCAUGAUCCGAGUCGCGAGUUUGACAAGUUAACUCAGGUUGACUUAGUUUAUUUUUUUGACAUUUUUUAAUUAGUUUUUUUCUUCAAUUUCAUCAUUCAGUAAUGAGUUUAUCGAAAAUUGAGCUUCAUAAUUUAUUUUAAUUUACUUUUUCUAUGAUGUUAUUAUGGUCUCAUGACCUGCAUGAAGAAUGAUAAGUUAACUUGAAUCAAUCCAAUAUGUUGUCAUCUCAAUAUAUAUAUAAAAAUACCAUCUUGAAUAUUUAUUUUGAGUUAAACUAUUUUUUAUUGGUUGUUUGAGUUGUCUUUAGACCUGCCAAGUCAAUCGAGUUAUAUCAAGUAAAUUUUCACAUGGUUGAAAAUUUUUUCUACUAGAAAAAAUACUGAUAAUAUUUAAAUAUUUUUUUACAUUAAAAAAAUUAAAUCUGACCAUAACAUAAUGCAAGCUAAUAAUCUAAUCUAGAGACUAUUUCAAAACCAAUUCCUUGUCUCGAAUAAUUACAAGAAUAUAAGAAAAUAUAAAAAAAUGAGAAUGGGUUAUUCAAUUUAUUAUGAUAUAAGAACUCCAGUAAAAGAUUUUAAAGCUCAUUUAGAAAAUUCCUAAAAGAUGGAUUGCAAAUGAGGGGAUUUUAGAGAACCAAUCCACAUAUAGAAUAAUUAUAAAAAUAUAAAACAAUAUAAAAGAUCGAGAAUGCAAAUGAGGGUUUUUUUUUUUUUUAAUGAAACUCACACUCAACUAUCUAAUUCAAUUGAUACCGAUUUAUGAGAGUGAUUUUGUCGGCUAGCACAAUUUCAAUUUGCUUGGGGGCUAAAUUGGAAAUAAUUUUAGUUUUAUGAUCUAGUUGAGGAUCACGUAAUAAUUGCGGGCCAAAUAUAUCAUUUUCCUCUAUUUUUUUUUUUUUAAUCUUCUAUGAUCUGAUUGAUCAGUUUUUUAUAGUUCGCCUUACCACCAUACGAAAAGCUUAAUCAGCUUCAAUUUAAACUGAGAGAUUCACUUCUUCCUUUAUUCUAUAGCGAAUUUGAAGAGGAACCCACUUCUUAAUUCUGUCUUUCUUGAAAUCCUGAGAAUUUGUUGCUGGAUCUGUUACUAUUAUUGGGUUUUGUGAAGAUUCAUUUUUAUCAUAGCUUUUUUUUUUGUUCCCUCCAGUUUUGGGUGGUUUCAAUACGAGGAAAACAUGAGCUUAGAUCAUUUUAGGUUGCUUGUAAUGUACUGACAUGGAUUUGAAUUCAGGGGUACCCUUUUGGAGAAUUUAUUGUUCUUUGUCGAGGUUGAGUGUCUGUUAUGGUACUUAUUUUGCUGGUCUAGUUUUGAAGGAGUGAUUUACUCUUGUUUUGGAGAAGAAAAACCAUUACUACUAUGUUUUGGAGGGACCGUGAGAGAGAAAACAAGGACCAAAAUGGUGGACCACCUUGUGGUCAGGUUCGAGUUCUUGUUGUUGGCGACUCAGGUAAUUUUCUUUUUAUUAAUUUGCACUCUCUAUUGUUUAGUUUAUUGAAUUUGCAAUGCGUGUUUUAUCGGUAAUUUUAUGUAAGGGGAUAUUGGUGAAUUAUGCUUCUGCUAUAUCCUUGUUUAGAUAGAACCUGGAUAGUAUUAGAGGGUUUCUUGAAAGAAUAGAAGUGAAUGUCUCUAGUGGACUUUGAGUAGUAACAUAUGCAAUUUCUGCUGGAAUCCAUUGGAAUCAGAUGGUCUGGAUUUUAUAUCUGUAAUCUUGCCAAUAUGACUAAUUGAUGGUCUAAAUACUCCAUUUUGGACCAAAAAAAGAUGGUGAUGUGCGUUGGGCUGAUUAUCCUUUGCAUGGCAUGUAGUUGAUGAUGAUUCAAUAGUUACAAUGUGUCAUUCUUAGUGUGAGAUCUAAAGAGCUUGGAUGGAGAUUUUGUUUCUGUUAUAGAUUCGGAGUUGAGGGUAGUCUUUUGCACUUUAAGACUGAUUUAGGCCUUCAAAUCUCCAGGGUUUUUGCUUCAACUCUGAUCACCAAGAUGAUUCCUUUAGGCAUUGGUAAAGUGAAAUAUCAGCUGCAAUUAUCAACAUCUUCUACAAACAUGAUGUGCAAGUUUAAUCCCCAGGAAUACUGACUAGUUAUUAUUUUAAUUUACUGGAAACCUAUAGGGCUGGAGAGUAUAUUUCAGAUUGAGGCUGGAAGAAGGAAAGAAAACUGGAGCUUGAUCAAUAUUUAUGAAUUUCUGUGGUUAUCUCUGUAGCAGUUUUAUUCACAGAAAACUAGUCUCUGUGACUUGGGAAAUCAGCUCUGGAUUUUGUUCAAAUAAGGGACAAUAGAACAACUACCUUUGUGGUUGUUGGUGUUUUGGUGCGGCAGGGAUAGAGGAGCUGUGUAGAGCAUGUUAUGCAGAUGGCAUGAACAUUUCAGACUCCUCUAAGUUUAUAUUUUUG
rnacentral:lncRNA from 1 species